UACGUAGGUGGCAAGCGUUGUCCGGAUUUAUUGGGUUUAAAGGGUGCGUAGGCGGUUUUUUAAGUCAGUGGUGAAAUACUUCAGCUCAACUGGAGAGGUGCCAUUGAUACUGGGAAACUUGAGUACUGAUGAGGUAGGCGGAAUGGACGGUGUAGCGGUGAAAUGCUUAGAUAUCGUCCAGAACACCGAUAGCGAAGGCAGCUUACUAAGGAGUAACUGACGCUGAGGCACGAAAAGUGUGGGGGAUCAAAACAGGG
rnacentral:rRNA from 1 species